CUUGUCCCUGGAGUCACUGCAGGCUUCUGUGGCACAUGUGCAGAGUAGGUGACAGAGAGGAGUGAGCCUAUGCCUACACUCAGUGUUCUGACCUCUGACCAUCUGAAUGAUUAGUGGCCUAACAUU